UACGUAGGGUGCGAGCGUUGUCCGGAAUUAUUGGGCGUAAAGAGCUUGUAGGCGGUUUGUCGCGUCUGCUGUGAAAAUCCGGGGCUCAACCCCGGACUUGCAGUGGGUACGGGCAGACUGGAGUGUGGUAGGGGAGACUGGAAUUCCUGGUGUAGCGGUGGAAUGCGCAGAUAUCAGGAGGAACACCGAUGGCGAAGGCGGAUCUCUGGGCCGAUACUGACGCUGAGGAGCGAAAGCGUGGGGAGCGAACAGG
rnacentral:rRNA from 1 species